AGUGGCGGACGGGUGAGUAACGCGUGGGUAACCUGCCCUGUACAGGGGGAUAACAGUCAGAAAUGACUGCUAAUACCGCAUAAGACCACAGCACCGCAUGGUGCAGGGGUAAAAACUCCGGUGGUAUAAGAUGGACCCGCGUUGGAUUAGCUAGUUGGUGGGGUAACGGCCCACCAAGGCGACGAUCCAUAGCCGGCCUGAGAGGGUGAACGGCCACAUUGGGACUGAGACACGGCCCAGACUCCUACGGGAGGCAGCAGUGGGGAAUAUUGCACAAUGGGGGAAACCCUGAUGCAGCGACGCCGCGUGAAGGAAGAAGUAUCUCGGUAUGUAAACUUCUAUCAGCAGGGAAGAUAGUGACGGUACCUGACUAAGAAGCCCCGGCUAACUACGUGCCAGCAGCCGCGGUAAUACGUAGGGGGCAAGCGUUAUCCGGAUUUACUGGGUGUAAAGGGAGCGUAGACGGUGUGGCAAGUCUGAUGUGAAAGGCAUGGGCUCAACCUGUGGACUGCAUUGGAAACUGUCAUACUUGAGUGCCGGAGGGGUAAGCGGAAUUCCUAGUGUAGCGGUGAAAUGCGUAGAUAUUAGGAGGAACACCAGUGGCGAAGGCGGCUUACUGGACGGUAACUGACGUUGAGGCUC
rnacentral:rRNA from 1 species